CUGGUUAGUUCGACCAUUCACUUAGAGGUGGCUAAGUUGUGCUUGAUGGCCAGCAAGCACUGUACUUGUCGCCGAGGACCAGCUACAGAAUACUUUUCGGGCAACGUGACUAAUUUCCGCAAACAUAGAAAUUCAGCGAAGAAGGCGUGCGCGAAAGAGCUGACGGAUGCGAGGACGCAGUGGCAUUUUCAUCCCCCUACUGCUCCUCAUAGGGGGGAGUGUGGGAGAGAAUGAUUCGAACGGUGGAAGAGGUGAUGGGCGCUCUGGAUGACGGGAGGAGAUUUACCGAAGAAAUUCUUCAAGUGUUUAGCUGAAGAUAUGAUCAACAGUCGGCCGCUGGAGUCUCCUUUGCCUGCACUCACACUGAAUACUUUUCUUCGGGGAUCAUCUGCUAACGCACCCUAGGAAGUCGUUGCACAUGCUCUUCGAGAUUCAUAUAAGCGAUCUCAGCUACCAACAGGCGAAAUGUAGAAGCCAUGGAUAAGGGAAUAUGUUGCCAGUAUCAACCAUCGAACGAACUGGCGCACAGAAACUCGGCCGUUGCAGAAAGCAGCGUAUUUUCAACUGGGAUUUCGCACGGACUGAGAAAAGGAUACAGCCUUAAAAUAAGUGUAUUAUAAGUUUUACAUUAACAUAAUAAAUUAGCAAACAGUAACAGCUAACGCUGGAAUAUUUA